UGGUCAGUAGGAUUAUUCCUGUGCGAAUUUUAGCCAUUAGUAUGUGUAAUCAAUCUAUUAUGCUUUCCUCUUUCCUUCUUUCAUUUGCUCAGGUUAGUGAAGUUCUGAAACUGUGCUUCCCAUUAAACAGGGGGAACUGUUAGUUGGUGCAGGAGAUACCAUUUGAUUUGAUUUCAUUGAAUGUAGACAGGAGAGUAACCUGGCUAUAAUGGCAAAUAUAUGAUGUGCAAUUUGGAUUA
rnacentral:misc_RNA from 1 species